UGUCUGCAUGCAAACUGGCAAGCUUCUGACUUUAGGAAUGAUUUACAGGAAAUUUUAAUGUAGUCAGCAUGAGUGCAUUAUGGACAGCAAAACUGGGAAUGAAAUUUGGCCUUGAAAAUGAGAAAAAAGGCUUUUCAUUACUGGUUUGUAUUCGGCCAGCCACCCAGCCAGCGCCAAAUCCGGCCCUACAGCAGCUCUGCUGACCCCAGGGCUACACGUCUGCUACACGUCUGCCGAGUGAGCUAACCUGUGGAGAUGGACAAUUCGACCAAACUCAUGUAGGAAACUGGUGCCUGACCCCAGUCCUGGCACUGCCCCGGUUCGCUGGCAGCUGGCGGUGCAGCAGCCAGGAGGAAAUGCUGGGGCUUAAGUGAUUUAACUUGGAGAGCACAGCAGCAAGAAUGAAAUCCACUUACACGGGCUAAUUGAUAAUGAAUGACUCCUUAAUUAGAAAUUAUAGAAAUGCCCCCAAACUUAAGAGGAGAAAUGGGACCAAGGUGUUGAUGAGCUGAGGGGUAUUUUUGUGACUCUGGAUUUUCCUUCAAAGAUGCUCUUGCCAAUUAACUUUUCAUGACAUAAAUUUGUUUGCCUUAAUACAUCCAGUUAGAAGCAUUUUCAGAUACAUUAUUUAAGGCCUGAAAAUAAAUAGUGGAUGCUCAGCCUGCGCUCUGUAAAGCUCAGAGCGGCUUGCCUUCUCGCUCAAUUAUUGAUGGCGCUUUCCGCUGCAUUUGAGACACUCCUGCCUGCACAGGGGAAAAUCCUGGCUUGUUUUCUUGCUUGCUCUAUUCCUCAAAGUCUCAAAAAAUCUCAUUCGGCAAUGGAUUUGAGGCUUUUAUCACCGCUCUGUAUUUCACCCUUACCACAGCAGAGAAUUUAUUUCAGCUGCUGAAGCCCCAUCCGUGAGCUGCCAGCCCCAGGAAUUUCUCACCACAGGCACUAACGAUGGGAUGAUGCAGUGAGAUUUCACUUAGUGUAUCUUUUUAUUUAAAAA